AUAUGUGUAUGAAUAUGCUGAAUGUCUUUCUAGUCCCCAUGGUAACCAAAGGAACAAUCAGUUGCUCUGAUGACAAGUGGAAAAGAAAUGCUAUGAGAAAAACAGACCCUUUCUGACUAGAGCAAGGAAAAAGCAUGAUCUCUGCAGCCUCCUAGAAAUAAUGCACACUGUCAUUAUAGUUUGCAGUAUGCAAACAAAGAUCCAAGUAUCGCAAAGGGGUUGGAAAAUACAGAGCUGGCACAAAGCUCUGUCGUUUUAUGAUCGGGCUUGAGGUGCAGAGGGUUUCUAAUUGGGUAUCCUCUGAACAAAGUCCCACAGCUCAUUUUGCUCAGCACCCAACAUCAGUCAUCUUCAGAGGUGCAUCCAAGCCACUGCCAGAGAUCUCAGAGAGCAGGAAGGAAAUGUUCCUGAGGAGCACAAGGGAAAGGAAGAGGAUCUGGAACAUGAAUUUGCAGCAGAGAAUUGGAGGAAGUAGCUGAGGAAGAUGAACACCUGGCACAGUGAUUGAAGUUCAUAACAUGAUUUUACAUGUGAACAUCGAAUCUGCACCAAAUAUUCAAAACAAGAUUUUCAGCAACAGAUGUAAGUGAACUACCAAAGCUUCUGAGACGAGAUUCAAGAUCCCUUCCUUCUGCUCUAGCAUCCCUUCUCUCUCACUGGAGAGCACAAAUCUAAGAAAAGUGAUGGCCACGGAAGAAGGAUGUUAGCAGCAGCAGGAAGAAGAUGGAUGCAAGAUCCAGGUUGGACAAAACUUCAAAGCAAGAACAUAUGCACUCACCCUCUUAUCUCCUUUCCGCUUUAUCUCUUGCUUCCAACACCCCUAACUGUAUAAGGUCUGUCAGUGUACCUUAAAAAAUCAGUGAAAAUGCCUAGGUCUACAGAGUCCUGGGGAAAAGAAUAGUGUCACUUAAACCACAUGAAUGCAUCAUUAAUCAAGUAGUAUAAAAGUGCCGGGUUUACAAAGUUGUCCUUUUUCUCCAGUCAUGCUGGAUUUUAUCACUUCCAACAAACUACUGGUAGAGCAUGACAAAAGAAAAGAACAAGAUCAUUGGAUUAUCAGAGCUCACUGUCAGUAAUUGUGAGACUGCAAGUAUUGAUAACAUCAUGGGCUGGGCAUCCAAUUCAGAUAACUGAGUGCAGAGCCGUUUUUUACUCCUGCAUGUGCUGAGGAAGAGCCUUAAGGGAGUUGUACAAAGGCAGGCUGAAAUCAUUGCUCUUCCCUGCCACACACACUUCAUGUCCAAAAACUGGAGGGGAACUAACGAAUGCUAUAAAUAAAGAAAAAUAAAUACAAAAAGACUAAAAGAGGUUACAGUAAAGCAGAAAUUGGAAACAGGCAUAAGUCAAAAAACAAGCAACAGUCUAAAUAGAGACAGGCUGGCAUCACUUCAAACUAUGGGACAUAAAAUAAUUUAAGGCAGUCACCUUUAAAAAGAAGUUGUAAAAAUGCACUGGUUGUAUCAACAACUUAAGCCCUUCUACAGAAUAAAAUCUCUGUUUGCUUUUCUUUCCCCUGUUUACUCUGUUUUUUUCAUGCAUCUUGCAUUUCCCUCAGAUCCUAUUCCUCACAGAUAAAUUUUCUUCCUGCUCAGAAAUGCAUUAUUUAGAGUACUUAAGCCCAGG